AACCGGAAGUUGGUAACCGAUGAUACAAGUCCUGUUUUGAAAGUGGAGUGCCGCUGCCUGAACCAGUGCCUGAAUCAGUGACAGUGUUGGGGAAAGAGUCAAACUCACAAAGACUCAUCGCCGUUAAAUCGCAUUCUAUUGUGAAAUUAAUUUCAAGCGAGUAAUGAAUUAUGGCUCUUGGUAAAUCGGCGAAAAUCAUGCUUAGUUGGGCUGGCAUCAUUGUGAUAGGUGUUUCAUCAUUUGCCAUGGCCAAAGU